AUGACCAAAAAGUAUCACCAUCAGCUUCAAAUUUUCAUGAAAGAUGUGAUGAAGAGAAAUGAAUUGACUGCAUCUCUUGGAAAUGAUGAAUUAGUCUUCACCCUGAUAAGCUUAAAGCUUUCGGUUUUUAUUGGAGAUAUACUUGCUGCUAAUUCAUCUCACAGUGAGUUCUUCAAUCUGUCGAAACAAUUUUGGAGUAUUACACCAGAGAAAAGCAUCACUUCUCAGUUACAUAAUUGGUGA